GGGUGCUUGGUUUAGUGGGAUAAUACUCGCUUAGUAUGUUCCUUACUUUGAAAGGUCGAUCUCUGUGAGUGGUCCAGGGUUCGAUUCCCUGUUCGUCCA